rnacentral:rRNA from 1 species
GUCUGCGGCCAUACCGCCCUGACCGUGCCCCAUCUCAGAAGCUAAGCAGGGUCGGACCUGGUUAGUACUUGGAUGGGAGACACGGACGCCGUUUCAGGUC